rnacentral:lncRNA from 1 species
UGUGUUGUGUGAUUGAAUUGGUGAUGAGUCAGAAAGAGCAGAAAAACGGUGAAAAAGUUUGUGGGUGGGUAUAUGAGGGGGGUGGGUGGGGGAAGGAAGAGGCAAAGGCGUUUGGGCACUUGUGCUUCUUUUGUGCGGGAGUGCAGAUGACUUCCUUUGCGAACUACCACGUCUUCGUUUUUUGGAAUUAUAUUAAAGGAUUUUUACAUAUAUAUUCCAUACAGCAAAUCUUAU